rnacentral:rRNA from 1 species
ACUCAAUCAUGUGUAGAGGGGAAUAGCAGGUUAUGCGUCUCCGUUAGAGACUACUACUGUUACAUGUUGCAAACACGGCCUGCGUUCUUCAAUCCCAUACUAUGUGGAGCACGCCUGCUGCAGCAAUGGGAGGUCGACAUGUACAUCAAGAUUGAGAGUUGUCAGUUGAGGUGGUACAGGAAGAACCAAAUGCAAAUUCGUGCCGACUUGUAUAAAGGAGCUGUUGAUGCGACCACAUCGAGGGAGAGGCGAGCAAGCGCUGUUGGGGUAAGAAUAGACUCCCUGGAACAUACCCUGGUGGCGACCGCGACAUGA